rnacentral:rRNA from 1 species
GUUUGAUCCUGGCUCAGGAUGAACGCUAGCGGCAGGCUUAAUACAUGCAAGUCAAGGGGGUAGCAAUACAACCGGCGCACGGGUGAGUAACGCGUACACAACAUACCAUAUACUGGAGUAUAGCUUUGGGAAACUGAAGGUAAUCCUCCAUAACAUUGCGAGAGGGCAUCUGAUUGCAAUUAAAGUUCCGACGGUAUAUGAUUGGUGUGCGUUUGAUUAGCUAGUUGGUAGGGUAACGGCCUACCAAGGCGACGAUCAAUAGCUGGCGUGAGAGCGCGACCAGCCACACUGGAACUGAGACACGGUCCAGACUCCUACGGGAGGCAGCAGUAGGGAAUAUUGGACAAUGGGCGAAAGCCUGAUCCAGCCAUGCCGCGUGAUAGAUGAAGGCCCUCUGGGUUGUAAAUAUCUUUUAUCUGGGAAGAAACUCCUCUAUUCUUAGAGGCCUGACGGUACCAGAGGAAUAAGCACCGGCUAACUCCGUG